GACGAACGCUGGCGGCGUGCUUAACACAUGCAAGUCGAACGGAAAGGCCCUGCUUUUGUGGGGUGCUCGAGUGGCGAACGGGUGAGUAACACGUGUGUAACCUGCCCUUGACUUUGUUAUAACUUCUGGAAACUUGGGCUAAUACCGGAUAGGAUCUCCUGCUGCAUGUUGGGGGUUGGAAAGUUUCGGCGGUUGGGGAUGGUCUCGCGGCUUAUCAUCUUGUUGGUGGGGUAGUGGCUUACCAAGGCUUUGACGGGUAGCAGGCCUGAGAGGGUGACCGGCCACAUGGGGACUGAGAGACGGACCAGAAUGCAACGGGAGGCAGCAGGGGGGAAUAUUGCACAAUGGGCGGAAGCCUGAUGCAGCAACGCGGCGUGCGGGAUGACGGCCUUCGGGUUGUAAACAGAUUUCGCCUGAGACGAAGCGUGAGUGACGGUAAUGGGUAAAGAAGCACCGGCUAACUACGUG
rnacentral:rRNA from 1 species